rnacentral:pre_miRNA from 1 species
UGCUGCUGCUGGUGGUGUUGGUGGUGCUGGUGCCGCUGGUGUUAUUGGUAGUAGUUUAGCAGUGUCAGCUGCUGGCGCCACCCCCACACAUCCACAUUCACAUCAGCAUCAUCAUCAUCACCACCAUCAACAUCAUCCACA